AUGUCGGCGUUAAACUUAAUAACAGAGGGGAAAGUUGCACUUUCCUAUUUCAUUGCCUGCAUUCUCCUAGUUUUAACCCUGUUUCAAAGCUGUAUUCUCACAGAAGUAUGGAGUAUCGCCUCGAGAGGCAUGAUUCUUGGAUUUACUUUGUUUGCGACUUGUUUCGUUCCAUAUUCUUCUGUUGCCAAGAGAGCUGCGCUGUUAGGUAUCAUUUUUGGAAUUGCCAUUCUCCUCAGCCUGGGGGAAUCACCCUGGAAAUAUUUUGGUUGGUACCUAGCUGCAUUAUCAUUCUUUCACCUCUCUGAAUAUAUCAUGGUGGCACGUUAUUCUCCAGCCAAGCUAUCUGUGGAUUCAUUUUUGCUCAAUCACAGUCCAGAGUAUCAAAUUGCUGCUGUUGCUAGCUGGAUUGAGUUUGGUAUAGAACUGUGGCUUUUCCCUUGGAUGAAGAACAUUUUCAUUGCAAGCUUAAUUGGUUUCCUGUGUAUGAUUGGGGGAGAACCUUUACGAAAGCUUGCUAUGAUAACAGCUGAAUCUAAUUUUACCCACAUUGUUCAGACUAGAAAGGAGAAAAGCCAUGUGUUAGUGACCCAUGGAAUUUAUAGCCUUUGUCGACAUCCAGGAUAUGCUGGCUGGUUCUGGUGGAGUUUAGGAACACAACUCACACUAUGUAACCCCAUUUGUCUCAUGGGCUAUAUCUGGGCCUCAUGGAGAUUCUUCAGUGAACGUGUCUAUGAUGAGGAAAUCACAUUAAUUUAUUUUUUUGGUGAAGAGUACGUAGCCUAUCAGAAGAAGGUCACAUCUAGAGGAGUGCCAUUUGUUAAAGGAUUUGAUUACAAUCCAGACAUGGUAAAUAACUCAUAGUUGAUGGAAGCCACCAGAAGUUACAAGAAACUAAGAAGGACAUAAAAGCUUUUUAAAAGGAGAAUGGUGGAGAUGCAAAUUAUUUUUAUUGGCCAGGGACAAGAAGCAUAUCUCUUCUUUCAUUGGGUAAUGCAGAUGGUGAACACAAAUUCUGUGCCAAAUUUGUAUGAUUUUAUUUUUUUAGGUUGUUAGUCUCAAAUCCACAAUUUUUAAUUGAUAAAUGAUUAAUUUUAUUGAUCAUUAUUUUAUGAUUAAUAUAUUUAUUUAAUUAAUAUCAUCCAGUUGCAUCUUAGAAAACCUUGAAAAAUUGUAAGUUGAGUUUGAGGGAUCAAUAUUAUUGUGUAUUGAUUAUUCACCAUGAAUAUCAGUAUCUAUAGAAGAACAAAUGUCAAAACUACAAAAAAUUGUUUUGACUGUUUGAGAAUUAUUUUUCUUGGGCCUAACUUGCUUUUUCCUCAAAACCAUGGUUACAACACAGUGACAUUGUGUAAAAAUUUCCAGUGGUCACAGGUAGCUAGGCUCCACACUAAUAAUAUUUAAAAAGGAAGAGCUACUCAGUGGAUCUGUUAAUAAACCAUUAUUAUUGUUAUUAUUAUUAUUAUUAUUAUUAUUAUUAUUAUUAUUAUUAUAUUAAGUACUCAUUUAACUUUCUUUCUGAGAAAGCUCUAUGUUGGCAUCAGCCCUCGUGUCUUAUUUAUUGGAUUGGAAUACACAAUUUCUUUUAAUGUAAAUGUUAAUUGCAUCUUGAUGUCGAUGUCUUUUGCUCUGGAUGUAUUUUGAGAUCCCCCAUUGCUGAUUUACAUUCAAAAUCCGUCAGUUAUAUGCAAGUGCAAGAAGAGAGCCAAAAAAAAUAAAUAAAAGCAACAAAAAAAAAAAAAACAAAAGCUAGAAAAAGCGAAAAACAAAAGGCAAUCAUUUUGAAAAACAGGUACAAAUGAGACAAUUUUUGCUUCCAUACUCAACACUUUAUUUUUGUAAGUUAAUUUAUUGUUCAUGAAUACAUAAAGUGGCAGAUAUUUUGUAAUCAGUGUAAUACAGAUAAGUAGUCAAACAAAUAAAUCUUCUAAAACUGUCAUGCUAAACGGUUUAAUUAUUUUUAUUGUUAUUAUUGUUUUUACUAUGGUUAAAAUUCCUUUUCACCGUAGAUUUCGUUUUUGUUCUUUACUAUAUAUUAUAUAUUUUCACAAUGUUUUCCAACAGGUAAAUCAUGAUAGACUACUAAAUUAUUUUACAAAUAAAUCGUUGUCAAAACAUAAAAAAAAAACCAAAAAAUUAGAUAUAAAUAGCAGACUAAAACAAACUUUGUCUGAAGAGACCGGACAUCAUUAUUUUAUUGCCGAGGGGGUUGAAGGAGAUUUAGUGGAUCACAGAGUUUUUCAGGGAAGCAGUAGGAGAGGAAGUCUUCUUUAACAGAGUUCGAAGGGGGCAUCAAGAAAAAAUAAACAGUUAUUGUGUUCGGUUUUUGUGAUAGCCGGAAUAAUCAAGG
rnacentral:misc_RNA from 1 species